rnacentral:tRNA from 1 species
GCGCCCGUAGCUCAACGGAUAGAGCAUCAGUCUUCGGAACUGAGGGUUCAGGGUUCAAGUCCCUGCGGGCGUACCA